GAUCGAUGUCGCUGAUACCAGUACUAAAAUGACAGAUGUACUACUUUGAAAGUUUUUAUCACGAGCGUUGUCAUGAAUAAUAAAUGAAAAUCAACAAGAACCAAGAACAAGUACAUGCUUAAAGCUCAAAGUAACUUAUCAAAUUAUUGGAAUUUGAUUUUUGAUGCAACUAGUUAUAUAAACAUUUGAAAGAAUUUAUUAUCUAUCUAUAUUCAUGCUUAAAUGAUAGUGAGAGAAAUUUAGAUUGUUGCUCUUAGCAUUUUUUGACGUUCUGACCAUGCACCUAUAUCUUCCAAUUCUGUUAUACGUGUUGUCAAACUAGACAAACUUUAGAAUUAUAAAAGCCAUUUUCUCAGUGAAAA